rnacentral:rRNA from 1 species
AUUCCAAUCGAACUCGGAGAUAGCUGGUUCUCCCCGAAAUAGCUUUAGGGCUAGCCUCAUGUUAGAUAUCCGGAGGUAAAGCACUGAAUGGCCUAGCGUCCGAGAGGAUAGCGAAGCCUAUCAAACUAAGAAUGCCGGAAUAUUGAUGCAUGGGAGUCAGACAGUGUGAGAUAAAUCUCAUUGUCAAAAGGGAAACAGCCCAGAUCUACAGCUAAGGUCCCAAAUUGUAUCUAAGUGGAAAACGAUGUGGAAAUACGCAGACAACCAGGAUGUUGGCUCAGAAGCAGCCACUCAUUUAAAGAGUGCGUAAUAGCUCACUGGUCGAGCGUCUCUGCGCGGAAAAUUUAACGGGGCUAAGAUACAAACCGAAGCUUAGGCUGCACUUUUAGUGCGGGGUAGGGGAGCGUUGUGUAAGCGGAGAAACAGUAGCGUAAGCGGCUGUGGAGUUUACAGAAGUGAGAAUGCCGGAAUGAGUAGCGCGAAUGAUGUGAGAAUCAUCAUGGCCGGAAACCUCAGGUUUUUGGAGGAAGGUUCGUCCGCUCCAAGUUAGGCGGGAGCUAAGGUGAGGCCGAAAGGCGUAGCCGAUGCACAGACGGUAGAGAUUCCGUCCCCACCGAAAGAUUUAAGCGCAGGGACACUUUUAGAAGGUCGGAGCCAGGUGUUGGUUCUGGUAGAGAUCGAGGGAAAUUUAGUACCGAAGUCCGGCUGGAUAAGAGGCGAGAAAAGCUGCGUGUAUAUCUAAGGUGCCCGUACCGCAAACCGACACAGGUAGGUAGGAAGAAGAUUCUAAGGCCAACGGGAGAAGGGUUGUUAAGGAACUCGGCAAGUUGACCCCGUAACUUCGGAAUAAGGGGUGCUCAUGAAAGUGAGCCGCAGAGAAUAGGCCCAGGCAACUGUUUACCAAAAACACAGGUUUGUGCUAAAUCGAAAGAUGACGUAUACGAGCUGACGCCUGCCCGGUGCUGGAAGGUUAAAAGGAGAUGUGCAAGCAUUGAAUUGAAGCCCCAGUGAACGGCGGCCGUAACUAUAACGGUCCUAAGGUAGCGAAAUUCCUUGUCAGGUAAGUUCUGACCCGCAUGAAAGGCGUAAUGAUCUGGGCACUGUCUCAACAGCCCGCCCGGCGAAAUUGUAGUACCGGUGAAGAUGCCG